rnacentral:rRNA from 1 species
UACGUAGGAGGCAAGCGUUGUCCGGAGUUACUGGGCGUAAAGCGCACGCAGGCGGUCCAAUCAGUCUGUAGGGACAGGGCACAGCUCAACUGUGUCAGGCUUACGGAAACUGUUGGACUUGAGGGCUUCAGAGGGAUGGGGAAUUCCGGGUGGAGUGGUGAAAUGCGUAGAGAUCCGGAAGAACACCGGUGGCGAAGGCGGUCUGCUGGGCAGUUGCUGACACUGAGGCGCGACAGCGUGGGGAGCAAACAGG